AAGCUCGACUCGUUCAUUGCCCUUCUAUUAGAUCUCAUAUCUCAGGUAUCACUCUUUCUUUUCCUUUUGUUACCCACUAGAGCAAAUUGCAACAUGGUUGUUUAUUUUACCGUGAAUUUUAUGCAUUUAAUCGAGAAAUUACUCCAUUGUUGAAUUGUUUCCCCCAAAUUUCUUGGUAAUUUUGGUAAAGCUAUGUUAUGGACUUUUUACAUGAAAUCGAUGAUGUCUUUGUGUUAUUCUACGGAUAAGUAAAUUAGUUGAACUUCUGGAUUUAUGUUUUUACAAAAUAUAUGGUAGGAGGGUUUACCUGGGAAAGAGUGUACCUGAUAGUAGUAAGUUUAGUUUAUUCCUAGCAUUCUUCUCUUUCUCCUUUAUUUUAAUUUUUAGGAUAAAAAUAUGUUAAUUUUUUUUACUAAUAGUUUAAUAAGUACAUCUUCCGAGCAGCUCUUGUUAUAAAGAAUUGAUUUAAUUAGAGAAAAAAGAGUCAAAAUUCAUUAAGAUGUACAAUGGAAGCAAUUUAGCUUUUGGGAAUUACUUGGUAGGGAAGUUAGGUGGAUAUUAUGAACUAGAAGUCUCAAAAUAUGGCUAGGGAUGUCUAAGAAAAUUCAAAGGGCUGUAUUACCUGAUUUAGGUACAUUGCCAUGGUCUCUGGCGCAUAAUCUAAAAGAUCAAUCACUUAGCACUACACGAGCCGUAUGAGGGAUUUGAAUGACAGAGCCAAUUUAGAAAGACUUCUUCAUGUGAAAUGUCCAUGAAGCCUGUCUUCUCUAGGAUGGCUCUGAGUGUGGAGUUAGGUUAUAAUGUGUUGAAUUAUGUUUAUCGAUCUCAUGUUGAAGCUUCAAGUGUUGAAAAGGAGAGAGAUGUAGUUAAUGUUUGUCCACAGUGAUUGUUCCCUCUUGUAGUAGACAAUAGUGCCUGAUCAGUUGAAGUUAUGUCAAAUCAAAGUUGCAAAAUUGCAACAAUUGUUUCUGAGUUUAGAUGAGAUACCCACUUGGCUUAGUUAAUUCCCAUUUUUCUAGUUCCUCUCGAUAUCCCUUCUCUUUUGUAAUGCUCUAGGUGUUGUAUCC
rnacentral:lncRNA from 1 species